AACGCGAAGAACCUUACCUGGGUUGAACUCCGUGGGAAAAGCCGCAGAGAUGCGGUGUCCUUCGGGGUCCACGAUAGGUGGUGCAUGGCUGUCGUCAGCUCGUGUCGUGAGAUGUUGGGUUAAGUCCCGCAACGAGCGCAACCCUUGUCCUAUGUUGCCAGCGGGUAAAGCCGGGGACUCGUAGGAGACUGCCGGGGUCAACUCGGAGGAAGGUGGGGACGACGUCAAGUCAUCAUGCCCCUUAUGUCCAGGGCUGCAAACAUGCUACAAUGGCCGGUACAAAGGGCAGCUAAACCGCGAGGUCGAGCGAAUCCCAAAAAGCCGGUCUCAGUUCGGAUUGAAGUCUGCAACUCGACUUCAUGAAGCUGGAGUCGCUAGUAAUCCCGGAUCAGCAACGCCGGGGUGAAUACGUUCCCGGGUCUUGUACACACCG
rnacentral:rRNA from 1 species